AUAGGUUUUGAUACUUGUUCUUUAUAGGAGCAUUAUAGGGCGACCGUGAGUAUUUGUCCAGUGUCGGUGUCCCGGAGCGAGACAUCUAACUUCUAACUGUAAGUCGCUUUUGGAUAAAAGCGCCAGCUAAAUGCAUGUAACAUGCUUGAAAGUUUCAACCUCAAGAGAGCAGUGCAGCAGAAACUUGCCAUAUAGGAUUUAGUGUCAACUAGAAAUAAGACCGUCACAAUGGCAAUGACCACCACGAGCGGAGUGCGAAGCAUCCCAGAUAGCAGUUGAUCCUAUCCGCCUCCUGUCGCACUCGGUUUGGUCAUGCCACCGGAUCCGCGCACCAUCAGACAGCGUUGUGACUGCGGUGGAUGCUCCAAGUUGUUGCCCUUCGACUUUUCAAACUGGUAUUUUCAAAACUGCAGCUCUUUGCGCCAGAAGUACGAGUUAGUUGGUGAUGGUGUAUAAGCUGAUGUUGCUACUGCACGUGUCCCCUCUGCCAGGGCUGGUCCAGCUAACUACCAGUUGUACAGAAGUGACAACACUGUUGAUCGCCAUCUCUACAAUUCAGGUAAGCACACAUUCUUUGGAAGGAAAUGUUUUCACAGCAACUUAAAGACACAUUUGAGAGGGAACCGUAUAACCUGUUUAACUUUAUAAUGACCAGAUUUGUAUUAAUUCAUUAAAAUACUAUCUUAAUAGCGUAGUGUUUGUUAGGAUCUGUGUGUUUCCUGUUUUAUGUUGAAGUCCCUGUCUCGUUUCCUGUUUCCCUGCUCUUCCCUCCCUGUGCUUGUCUGUUUCUUUCCUGAUUGUUUCCAGCCACGCCCUGAUUGUUUCCACCUGUGUCUCGUUCCCCUGUGUAUUUAAUCUGUGUCCUUCUGUUUGUCUGGUGUCAGAUCGUCUUUUUUCGUUCCCGUGUGGUGUUGUCUGUGUUCCUGUACUGAGAAUAAACUCAGUUUUUCGUGAAACUCCUGCUGCGUUUGGGUCCUCCACACCACGCAUCCGUAACAGUGUUUUUAUAAAAAUGACUUGACAUGCUAUAUAAGCACUACAAAUUAAUACAAUUGAGAACAAAUAGAUAUUGUAUAUUUCCUGAAAGAAAAGAUGCAUUUCAAACAUUGUUUGUAUUUUGGUUUGUUUUAGAUAAAAUGAACAGAAAGAAUGGGCCUGUCUCCAGCUCCACCAUUAGACGGAGGGUCCGUCAAGAUGUUUUGACUACAUCACUGUGAUUGAUGGGAAACUGAAUACAACUUUGACUGAUGUUCCACUUCAUAGAAUUGUUGACUAACAAAACGGUAGCAGUAAUGCCACAAAGCUAUACCAGCUUUGUGGCACUACUGCUACCGUUUUGGCCGAAUUAUCCGAGGGACGAAAGGGUGGACAAGGCUGUCAGAAGCGCCGAACAACCUGGACCAGACGGACAGACACGUGACGUCAGAGUAAUUAGAUCAUGCGGUAUUAUAUUAAUAUUGUAUUAAUUGGCCGUUUUAAACGGAUAUAAAAAAUCACUUUGUUAUAUAUGUUGGGGGAAACAACAUUUUAAUCACAUUGUUCUGUUUAUAAUUCUGUACUUUUUCAUUGUGUUUAUGUGACUUAAUUUUUAGAUCAUUACUUGGUGGAAAUAUAUGUCUUGCGACACAUCAGAUCUCCAGUCAGAAGAGGAGGCAAUUCCUAAAAAGAGGAAGCCAAUGCCGGUCCAUUUCUAUGGAGACUCGGAUGGAGACAGUGAAAAUGAAAAUUCCCCCCACAAAACAGGGGUCCAACCACUAGCGGGACAGUUGUCCCUCCAAUCAUUGCCUCCUCCUAACUAUUCCAUGUACUCCAUCACCAGCAGGACAGCGAACACGCCAGGGGGACACGCCCACCUGGCGAGGGGCGUGGUGUGGUUCAGACACCAUUGCCUGCUGUGCUGUUCCAGUUCAAAUCCUAGGCAUGCUGGAGACAAUUACAGAGGUGAGAGACCCGUUUCCGUGUACCACAAUGGAGGAAGUGGACCUUUUUGAGCAACGGCUCAAAGAUCCCGUCAACAUUCUAAUGAGUGGUGAGUUUUUUUGUUUUAAGAAUCUCACGCAAAGCUGAUUAAAAUCUAUUGUAUGUAAUUAACACUAGACAAUACCAUGUUUGAUGGAAAUGUUUUUUCAAACAUUCUGUAAAGUAUCAAAUAUUAAUCGUACUUUUUCGAUCCAUUUUCGAUUUCCUCCCUGGCAACGAUCGGACGACAUGAUGCCAAACGUGGAACAUCCCCGAAUGAAUGGGAAAAAAUUAUUCAGUCAAAUGACAUCUAAGACUUUGCUCCUGCAUGCCGUCAGAAAGAAUCAUGCCACACAUGCAUCCACUGAUGAACAGAUUCUAAAGCAUGCCAUUAGGUGGUUCAACCUGGCAGCAA